rnacentral:lncRNA from 1 species
CAGGAGCUCUAGUGGCAAGGAGCAAACUCAUUUCAUUUUUGCGUGAUGGUUCCUGGAGGGUUCCCUGGAAUUUUUCCACGUUGCUCUCUCCAGGGGGGGACAAUACCGAGUCCUAGCCAUUGCAGUGUUGAACCCUCCAGAUGCUUGGCCUUCUGCUGGCCAAUCAGAUUUAUAGUCCAAAGUGUUACAGAUCUGGGAAAGAUGGCUUAAUGCACGGUGGGACAAAAUGCAAGAGAUCUCCAGCUAGAAUCUACAAUUUUGAAAAAUGUUAAAGGAAGCAAGGAGUCCAGGGACUGAACCUAGGAGCUUUCUGCCUGCAAGGCUGUGUCCUACUGCUGACUCUUCUGUGAGUUUUUCCCAUGUAGUUCGUAUGCACUUCAAGAGCAACUCCUUUGCAAGCAACUCAGAAAAGCUGCUGACAACCCCAGCAUUAUCUUCAUCAGGCAACCAGCAAGUUUCUGGCCUCUCUCUGACCUUGCAGCCAAUGGAAACAUACCCUGAAGGAUGCCAAUAUUUGCAUGAAACGGCCUGAAGCUGGGAGGAUGGGAACGUGACCCUCAUGAAUCUUCCAUCGUGCAGUGGCUACUCUGGUGUUAAUUGUUUUAACAGCUCCGGAAUAGCUUCUUUCUUGCUGCUCUCUACUGUAUUUGUACCGGGCAGCACCGCAGCCUUAUCUCAUAAUUUUCUUUUUCCUCCACAGGAAAAGCUGCAAUGACUCCAUAAUAAUUCAGCUAGUGUUUUUUUACGACGAAAGAUGUGCUGAACACGAUGCUCCUAAUACUAAUGUUAAUAAUGGUGAGAUCUAUAAUUGGAACCCAGUGCCCCUGAGAGAAAAUGACAGCAGCAGAUCUUGGUGAAAUGCAAAGAGAUUCAAGAAUUAUUUGGAAGAAAUCGGAGUAGAUAAAAUAAUCCCACAAUUCCAGGAUCAACACUCCUUGGAACUAGACACAUUCUUCCAAGAUACUGUAUUGUUUCUUAACUCUUGGUUAGGAUUCAAAUUAAAAUUGAUCAAAAACUCCAGUCAUUUUUUCUGGCUUUUAAAUCUUUGGUUAGGAUUCACAUUAAAAUUGAU